GAGCGAGCGGCGGGUGUCCCUGAGAGGCCACCUUUCGACCUUCGAGGGCCAGGAGGAUACGGGGAGGUGGCCGGAGGGAGUUCCCGAACACAGGUCUUCCUGUUCCCGCCGAGCAGGUGUUGGCGGUGCCAGGCCCGGCCUGGCGGGCCCGGGCUGGCAGCCAAAUACCCAGCGUCUGUGCUCGGGACGGGAGUGUUCGUCCAGGACGUGCAGCUCCGGAGCCUGCGCGGGCGACCUUGACCACCUUUGUCGGCUGUUUCCCCCUGAGGGAAGUAUACCUGUCCUGCCAGCCUUGGUCUCUGGCAGGGAAGGUCCUUCCAACAGAGAGGGGUGCGCACGAAUUCCUUUUUGCCGCUCUUCUAUUAAUAGUUUGAGAUUUUCCUCCCCGAUUCCUUGCAGAGAGGGCCUGGUCCUCAAGGACCUCGGGAUCUGGGCGCGACGUCCCUUCCCAGCUUCCUCCCGCGCGCACCGGACCAGAUCUUGCUGUCGUCAGCUGGCUGGUACCCAAAGUUCCUCUUCGUCAGGCUGUUCCUUCCCCGUUAGAGUCCUUCCUCCCCAGGAGCCCUCUCCAUCUGCUGACCUUCAAGACCCAGAGCGAAUGCCACUUCAUCCAUGAAGCCUUCCCUUAACCCUUAUCUGGCCAAAAUGUCUCUUUCCUGUGCUUCUGUACUUUCACAAUUUUAGAAAAUGCCUUUGUGGUUAAAAACCUAUCUCCGGGACCGGACUAUCUAGGUUUAGAUUCUGGCUGCCGCUUACGAAUUUGGGCAGGUUUAGUCAAGUUAUUUUAACCUCUCUGUGGAAGUUCCUGCUCUGUGGAAAUAAUAGUAUUUUCCUCAGAGUUGGUGUGGGGAGUUUGUGAGUUAAUACAUUUACGAAGUGGUUAGUUGCAUGUAAGAAGGACUCUCUAAAUGUCAGCUAUUAUUAACAUUGCAUAUCUGCCACACCCUUCAUAGAUGGUAAACUGCUUUUUUUUUUUUUUUUACUUUUAUUUUAGGUUCGGGAUACAUGCACAGGUUUGUUUUAUAGAUAAAUUGCUUGUCAUGUGGGUUUGUUGUACAAAUUAUUUUGUCACCCAGAUAGUAAGCAUAGUACUUGACAGGUAUUUUUUCUGAUCCUCUCCCUCCUCCCACCCUCUAGCCUCAAGUAGGUCCCAGUGUCUGUUGUUCUCUUCUUUGUGUCCAUGUGUUCUCAAUGUUUAGCUCCCACUUACAAGUCAGAACAUGCAGUAUUUGGUUUUCUCUUCCGCAUUAGUUCACUUAGGAUAAAGGCCUCCAGCUCCAUCCAUGUUGCUACAAAGGACAUGAUCUCUUUCUUUUUUAUGGCUGCAUAGUAGUCCAUGGUGUAUAUGUACCGUAUUUUCUUCAGUCUACUGGUGAUGGGCAUUUAGGUUGAUGCCAUGUCUUUACGAUUGUGAAUAGUGCUGCAGUGAACAUACAUGUACAUAUAUCUUUAUGGUAGAAUGAUUUAUAUUCUUUUGGGUAUAGACCCAAUACUGGGAUUGUUGGGUCGAAUGGUAAUUCUGUUUUAAGUUCUUUGAGAAAUCGCCACACUGCUUUCCGCGGUUACUGAACUAAUUUACAUUCCCACCAGCAUUGUAUAAGCAUUCCCUUUUCUCCACAACCUCACCAGAAACCAGCAUCUGUUAUUUCUUGACUUUUAUUAAUAGCCAUUCUGACUGGUGUGAGAUGAUAUCUCAUUGUAGUUUUGAUUUGGGUUUCUCUAGUGAUUAGUGAUGUUGAGUAUUUUAUAUGCUUGUUGGCCAUGUAGCUUCUUUUGGCUAGGGACCUGUGAGUCUCCCUAGGUUUCUUGCACUUACUAAGCCUUCAACAAAUGGUAGAAGAGUCAAUUCUCUUGGUGUUUCAGAAGAAAACAAUAUCACAGCCCCUCUCCACUGGAUAAUACUAUAAAUCUUAAAAUGAAUUUUCAUUCAGAGUAAUAAACACAAGCCAAAGAACUUUGUAUAACAUCCGUCAACUUUUUGUGUUAUCUAUUUCUUUUCCAAAACAUUGCCUCUGGUUUUAAAGGUAACUGCCCACAGUGUUUCACUAAUAACAUUUUAAGCAUUACAAGUUCAACACUGAAGGUCAAAUGACAACGAACUUUCAGUGCUUCCAAAAGCAGGGGCAGAGGGCAACUGCUGAGGGGGGCAUUGUAUAGCCUAACCUUCCCAGAAUUUGAUUUAAAAGUAUGAUCUUCACAGCGUUGGCCAGCAAUAUCAUGGUCACUCCCUACGUCAUUCCCUGGGAGAAAAACAACCCUAGGUUACCUAAACAAUGUUGGCGAAGACCAAAUAUUUAUUAACAUCCUAAGCCGCCCCAUAAUCAAGCCAAUGCUGAUAGGGACAAAGAAGGUGCCAUGUGCAGUUUUUCUCCAUGUCCCCACAAUAUCUGCUCUGAAUUUUAAAAGGCAAUUACUGGGGGAGAAGGAAGCCUAUAUAUUAUGUAGGAUCCAAGUCUCAAACUGCUUUCCUAGGGAGUGUGAGGUUCUUGGAGAUUAAGUGCAGUACCUUUCUGUCUUGAGCCUUGUAGGCUGCCCCUCUAAUUUAAUGCCAGUCUUGAAAUAAACAGAAUGCUUUCCAAGUCAUCGCUAAUUUUAACACUUUAAAUUUAGAAUUGCUUAGAAUUGACUCAACACUGCCUCCUUGCUGAAUGGAUAAUUCAAGCAAACAACUCAAGAGCUGGAUGCUGCCCAGACAGGUAGGCAGCCAGAUAAAGUGAGUGUCCAGGGAAAGAGCAGUAAGGGUCAGAAGAGAAAGAGCCUGGUGUUCUCACUGCCUCCUGCCUUCCUUAUGACUGUCUGUUCAGAAGUCCUCCUAGCAUCUUUCUUCUGCCUUCCCCUGCUCCUGUCCCUGAAACCUUUUCUUCAAAAGAAGUGGAAAAGAGGAACUGGGAACCCAUAUAGCAACAGCAUCACCUGGAAUGAAUUCCUUUAGAACAUACUGUCUUGGAAAUCUGAAGCCUGCAGGGCUGGACAGGCAAGAAGAGCAGUGAGCACUGCAUGAACCUUUCUCUCCUUCCCUCCCUUACGUAUGACUCCUCCCAUAAUCCGCACACAUGGAUUGAACCAAGUGAGGGUAUUUUUCUGUUUCCUACCUCAUAGAAGGGCAUAGAGUGGACACGGUCUAAGGCAUGUACUCCGAAAUAUUUUUCAAAUGGAAAAGAAAACAGAGAACACAAUUUUCAAAAUAUCUAGAGCCCUCCAAGAAGUCUUUGUAGAGAUCUAUAAAAUCUCAAGGCAAUUUAAAGAAAAAUGUUUUAGAAACACUAUUCUCUCCACAUCCUGGGGCAGCAGCCUUCUCCAAAGAAACAGAAAGAAGGAAAUGGAUUGCCUUAGCAAAAAAACAAAUGAAGACACUCCAAAUAACAGAAGAAUGGGAAGGCUACAGACCUUGAAGUCAGAAGAAAAUUUCCUCUCCUUGCCCCGUUUCUCCUUAAAUGGAUCACCAGUACAGUCUCUUACUUCUAGAGCCAUGUUAAGCUUUCUUCCCCAAAGUUGUAAUGUCCUUCUUUUGGUUGUGUCGUGUCCUAAAAUCCUACUCUUUGGUACAAGAUGAAGGUAUAUGAAGAGAUAAUGAAGGAAACAAAUUCAAUGUGUUUGCCAAGAACACAGUCUUUUAAAUAACUCUUAAAGGGUUCGUUUAAAACAGUGUAAUAAAUUGUGGUAAUCUAGUACACAAAGCUAGUAGGAACCUCGUUUAUUAAUAAUAUUUCAACAUUGAGCAGUAGAGGGCAGCACUAUCCUUCUUUUGCAAAAUGUUGAGCACUCUUGAGAAGGAAAAUAAAGGCAAAGCUCCUGA
rnacentral:lncRNA from 1 species